UGCUAAGUGUUAGUGCAGGAUGAAGACCUAUCGUUAGAGUUAUGAAAAACCACAGCAGCACAAGCAGCUAUAAUGAUUUAAGAGAAUAUGACUGCUGCUUUUCUCUCAUCUAAGAGGAUAGAGCUAACUGACAGAGAAAUGGAAGAUAAGAUUUGCCUGUCCUGACCCAGUCUAAAAAGUAGAAGUAACAUAGAAAGAGCAACAACAGGGGGAAGCUAAAGAGAUCAUGAUAAGAAUCUUGUAAGACUUGGGAAAAGAAGUACUAAUUCAGAGGUCCUCAUGGCAGAAUUUUACAGAGGCAUGAACCUUCAGAGCCCUGAGCUGCCUUGUAAGAAGUCUAGCUAGCAAUGCCACCAUGCUGGAGAGAUGAUGAGGGAAAACUACAUACAGACACAAACAGAGUGAGACACUCAAGAAGCCCUAGUUGUGGAAUACAGCAGUGCUAUGGAGGCUUGACAUAACCAUCUACUUUUCCAGAAACCCA
rnacentral:lncRNA from 1 species